rnacentral:rRNA from 1 species
UACGUAGGGGGCAAGCGUUGUCCGGAUUUACUGGGCGUAAAGAGCGUGUAGGCGGCCACGCAGGUCCGUUGUGAAAACUGGAGGCUCAACCUCCAGCUGUCGACGGAAACCGUGUGGCUAGAGUCCGGAAGAGGAGAGUGGAAUUCCUGGUGUAGCGGUGAAAUGCGCAGAUAUCGCUUGGAACGCCAAAGGUGAAAACAGGUUGCUGGGGUUGUGCCGACGCUGAGACACGAAAGCCAGGGGAGCAAACGGG